rnacentral:lncRNA from 1 species
AGAAGAAAGAGGAGAGAUCUCGACAUAGCUCUUGGUUCGAGAGAAUGAUGGACACAAUGAGCUCUGCUUGCUCAUUAAGAGGACCCGCAGCUGAACUGGAGGAUGAUGUGCUUUCACGAGGACUAAUUCAGCUGACAUUUCAUAGCGAUUUUGGUUAAGGGAUCCUCUACGUCGAGCUGGCGACUCUAAAACUAGCGCUUGGUGGGAGGCAACCUACCGUGGUUUGGUUUUUGUUUUUUGUUUUUCUUGUUCUUUGUUUUCCGUUUUUGUUUUGUCUUUCCUAAGUUUUGGUUGCUUGCGCGGAUACUUUGAUGUGGUGUUCAUGUUUUGACUUCAGCGCUGCAGUUCUAACUCUGCCACAGACCGCGAAUUCCCCUCUUCACCACCUCGCACGAUGCUUCAGUUUUCUCAAGGCCAAUAAUCAGGGAUGUUUUCUCAACUCUUCUUAUUUCUUUUGUGCCCUGAGGACAUGGCAUGCUUUAAGUGUGGGGGAUGUUUUAUUGUGCUUAUGCUUUCAAUUGGGCGAGAUUAGUCUUUCUAUGCUUAGUUUUUGGUCUCGAAUCUUGCUAGUUUGUAUGAAUUUGUAGAAGAGAACAUGAUUUUCGAUGUGAAUUUUGGGGUCGUGUUCGUUUGGUGGUUAUUCUUGUUUUACUGUUGAUAUGUGUUUCUUGAUUAUGCAAGAAUUUGAGUUUUGUUGCAACACGAUUGUAAGUAAGUAAAACGUGAUUUGUCCGGUAGAUGCUAGAAGGAGUGUUGUCAUUGUGAUUGCCUACGAUCGUAUCUUAUCUGUGAAAUGUGAAAAAUGUUGGACGAAUUGCCAACCUCAAAAUUGCCAGCUCUGAAACAUCUGGCCUGUUCUGAAACGUGACAGCUCUGAGUCUCUGCUCCUCUAGUCCAACUAUGAGCAUGGGAAACCACGUGAAAAGACUUUGGAGUACAUCCAAAUGGUUUCUAUUUCAUGAAUUAUGGCUCAACUGUCGAAAUCUCAAGCACACAAAGUGUGAAAAAUGGUGGUAUUGAUUAUAAAGGCGGUCACAUUAGAGAAUUCACUUCUAGCAGAGAAUUGGGUCUGAUCGAAUUGCUUACAUUACUCUUGUGUUGCUUCUUAAACUUUGAGUUACUUGCAUGAUCGAGAGAUGUGUGUUGAUUGUAAAAUUUUGAAUUGACUUUGAGAAUGUUUGGAUGGAAAUUAGCAUUGUUGAAAUCAAUCUCUUCCUAGGAUUCAUAUGGAUUUUGCUUGAGGACAAGCAAAAGGCUAAGUGUGGGGGGUUUGAUUUAUGCUUAAUUGUUCUAAUUUUAGGGGUUUGCAUGUGCUUAUUUUAAGUUAAAUCUUCUGGAAAUUGGUGCAUUUUAUGGUCUAUUUUAUGCUUUGCAGAAGUAUUUUAGGUUUUCGAGAUGAAGAGUGCAAAUCUUGGAGAAUUUGGGCUAAGAUCGUGUGUUUGUGCAUACUCUGGCACGUCAGAGAAGCGAAGGCCCGCGCCAGAGCUAAAACCCAGCACGGAACCAGAGCAGCGGAACCAAGCUCUCCAGAGCAGAGAGCGCUCUAGAUCCAGAGAAGUCAUUCGCCAGANUCUGAGCAGUACGCCAACUAUAAACAGCACGCGCCAGAAUGUUGCUAAGGAGAAACUGAUGUGCACCAGCCCGGAAGAGGACAUAAUUAUACAGGAUUUUCUUGAUAAUUUGCAAGAUGAGGAAGCCAUUGAAGAUCAGUUUUUGGCCAAACUUCCAAUCAACGUUAAUGUCGUUCAUGAGGUGCCAACUACCGUGAAAGAGGAUGCCACCGUUAAUGAAGAACGGGCUGAUGUGCUGCCAUGCAAGGAUGAUACCGUGCUAAGAGUGCAGAGUGCACCACCUUUGGAAGAGAAGAAAGAGAAGAGAUCUCGACAUAGCUCUUGGUUAAAGAGAAUGAUGGACACAAUGAGCUCUGCUUGCUCAUUAAGAUGACCCGCAGCUGAACUGGAUGAUGAUGUGCUUUCACGAGGACUAAUUCAGCUGACAAUUCAUAGCGAUUUUGGUUAAGGGAUCCUCUACGUCGGGCUGGCGACUCUAAAACUAGCGCUUGGUGGGAGGCAACCCACCGUGGUUUGGUUUUUGUUUUUUGUUUUUCUUGUUCUUUGUUUUCCGUUUUUGUUUUGUCUUUCCUAAGUUUUGGUUGCUUGCGCGGAUACUUUGAUGUGGUGUUCAUGUUUUGACUUCAGCGCUGUAGUUCUAACUCUGCCACAGACCGCGAAUUCCCCUCUUCACCACCUCGCACGAUGCUUCAGUUUCUCAAGGCCGAUAAUCAGGGACGUUUUCUCAACUCUUCUUAUUUCUUUUGUGCCCUGAGGACAUGGCAUGCUUU